rnacentral:rRNA from 1 species
GAUGAACGCUAGCGGCGGGCUUAACACAUGCAAGUCGAGGGGCAGCACGGGUAGCAAUACCUGGUGGCGACCGGCGCAAGGGUGCGUAACGCGUGAGCAACAUGCCCUAUACAGGGGGAUAAUCCAGGGAAACUUGGUCUAAUAUCCCAUAGUAUUUAGAGGAGGCAUCUUCUAUAAAUUAAAGCUUCGGUGGUAUAGGAUUGGCUCGCGUGACAUUAGCUAGAUGGUGAGGUAACGGCUCACCAUGGCAAUGAUGUCUAGGGGUUCUGAGAGGAAGGCCCCCCACACUGGGACUGAGACACGGCCCAGACUCCCACGGGAGGCAGCAGUGAGGAAUAUUGGACAAUGGAUGGAAAUCUGAUCCAGCCAUGCCGCGUGCAGGAAGACAGCCCUAUGGGCUGUAAACUGCUUUUAUAUGGGAGCAAUAAGGUCUACGUGUAGACUGAUGAGAGUACCAUAUGAAUAAGC